rnacentral:rRNA from 1 species
GACGAACGCUGGCGGCGUGCUUAACACAUGCAAGUCGAACGGAAAGGCCCUGCCUUUGUGGGGUGCUCGAGUGGCGAACGGGUGAGUUACACGUGAGUAACCUGCCCCUGACCUAGGGAUAUCCUAAGGAAACUGGGGCUAAUCCCGGCAAGGAGCUAUCGCCGCUUGGUGGGGGUUGGAAAGGUUCGGUGGUUGGGGAUGGACUCGCCGCUCAUCAGCUUGGUGGUGGGGUAGUGGCAUACCAAGGCCAUGAAGCGUAGCCGACCUGAGAGGGUCACCGGCCACGCUGGGACUGGGAUGCGACCCAGACUCCUACGGGAGGCAGGGGUGGAGAGUAUUACACAGUGGGCUGGAGCCAGAUGCAGCAACGCCGCGUGCGGGAUGACAGCCUGCGGGUUGUAAACCACAUUCGCCUGAGACGAAGCGAGAGUGACGGUAAUGGGUGAAUAAGCACCGGCUAACUACGUG